UUUUUUAUCAUUUUGAAUACUAACUUCAUGUGUAGUGCAAAUUUUAUGUUAUCCUUUUAAACAAAAACCUGCUAUUCUUGGAUGUUUAUUAAGGAUGAAUGCAAAUUUUAUGUUAAAAAAGCCACAAAUACUGCAUGGAUUUGUCUAACUAAGGGCUUAAAAUUCAUAUCAAUCUGACACAGGGAAUUUAUUUUCCACUACUUAAGCAGUCAUUCAUAAUACAACAGGCUUCCUUAACUAGGGUAAUGAUGAAAAUCUGUCAGCGAAAUGCUAUUGCUUUGACUCUGUUUUGAUAUUGCAGCAUCUUUUUU
rnacentral:misc_RNA from 1 species